rnacentral:rRNA from 1 species
GAUGAACGCUGGCGGCGUGCCUAAUACAUGCAAGUCGAGCGAACGGACGAGAAGCUUGCUUCUCUGAUGUUAGCGGCGGACGGGUGAGUAACACGUGGAUAACCUACCUAUAAUACUGGGAUAACUUCGGGAAACCGGAGCUAAUACCGGAUAAUAUUUUGAACCGCAUGGUUCAAAAGUGAAAGACGGUCUUGCUGUCACUUAUAGAUGGAUCCGCGCUGCAUUAGCUAGUUGGUAAGGUAACGGCUUACCAAGGCAACGAUGCAUAGCCGACCUGAGAGGGGGAUCGGCCACACUGGAACUGAGACACGGUCCAGACUCCUACGGGAGGCAGCAGUAGGGAAUCUUCCGCAAUGGGCGAAAGCCUGACGGAGCAACGCCGCGUGAGUGAUGAAGGUCUUCGGAUCGUAAAACUCUGUUAUUAGGGAAGAACAUAUGUGUAAGUAACUGUGCACAUCUUGACGGUACCUAAUCAGAAAGCCACGGCUAACUACGUG